AUACAGAGGGUGCGAGCGUUAAUCGGAAUUACUGGGCGUAAAGCGCGCGUAGGCGGCUACUUAAGUCAGAUGUGAAAUCCCCGGGCUCAACCUGGGAACUGCAUCUGAUACUGGGUAGCUAGAGUUUUGGAGAGGGAAGUAGAAUUUCAGGUGUAGCGGUGAAAUGCAUAGAGAUCUGAAGGAAUACCAGUGGCGAAGGCGACUUCCUGGCCAAAAACUGACGCUGAGGUGCGAAAGCGUGGGUAGCAAACGGGAUUAGAAACCCUUGUAGUCC
rnacentral:rRNA from 1 species